GCGCCCAUAGCUCAGCUGGAUAGAGCGCAUGCCUCCGGAGCAUGAGGUCGCAGGUUCGAAUCCUGCUGGGCGUA
rnacentral:tRNA from 4 species